rnacentral:piRNA from 1 species
UCAAUCUGUAGUUUUUAAUUC